UGCCAGCAUAAUCAUUUGUUGUUUACAAAGAGUCCUACACAACUUUAAUUUGAAUACAAUCAAAAGUCAAGAACACCCUGGACCCAAAGCCAAAGGUGCACUUGAAUGGGUCUAUAUAUUUCAUGUAUUUGGUAGAUUGAUUUAUAAAUGAAUAACUUUAUUUCUGAAUUUUAAAUUGUUUUUUUUUAAACUGUGUAAGAUAAAUAAUUGCUCUAUCUAAUAAGCAUUGACCAGUUGACAUUAUUGUGGUCAAACAAAUGACAAAAAAAUAUUCUGAAUGAUGAAUCCAGAUUUUCCCCAUACCUGUCACUGUCAGGUAACCUGAGGAUUCCCAAAACCGAAGUGGUUCGUCUGAAAAAGGUGGAAUUUACAGAAUAGGUGACGGGUAACAGGUCUGUGGAUAGAACAAACAUCCUCACCUUCAAACUGGUAAAGUUCAACUUCUACAACAGUCCAGACAGAAGAACGUCUGUUAUCCAAUGUAGCUAUGCAAUCUGGGAACCAGUUCAGGUAAGACCUUGAACUUGAAGAUGCAGAGCUUUGCUUGUCGGUACGACAGCAGCCUGUUGUUGAAGUGAUUUCAAUAUAUAUGGUCCUAUAUGGUAAACAUUUAGUUAAAACAAGUGUGAGAGCAUUAUUUACGUUUAAAGAAGGACUGGGUGUUUCGUUUUGUCCUUCUUUUUUUCUUUUUUUUUUUGGGGGGGGGGGGGGAAUGGGAUGGGAUGGGAUAAGAUAAGGAUAGUCCAAAUAAUUAUGACGUCUUGAAAGGCUAUUAUAAUUUUUUUCUUUGACGCCUUACUGAAAGGCUAUCAUAAUUUUUUUCUUUGACGCCUUAGUUGUGUCAAAAAAAAAUUAUUUAGCCUUUCAAGACGUCAUAAUUAUUUGGACUAGGAUAAGGGUAGGUCACUAAGUGUGCAGUGGGUGGUAAGGGGGGUGCUUGCACGUAAAAAACGUGAAAUAAGACAUUAUUUCAUGAACGUUGCACAAAAAAUAAAUACUUUGUUGUGAACCUUUUUCUGACUGAGUCACAGUCUUCUCAUUGGCGGAUCCUAUUCUAGGGGUUGGAACCCCCAUUUUUUUGGCCGAUCAAUGCAUUUGAAUGGGGACAUAUAGUUGUAACAUCCUCCCACCUAUGUCCUGGGUUGGGACCCCCCCCCCCUUUUCAAAAUGGCUGGAUCCGCCCCUGCUUCUUGUAUAUAUUAACUUUAUGUUUUACAUUGUGUAGUGAAAAAUAAUGAGCACGCAAAAUAAGCAUUUGAAAAUCAUGAUGCACAUAAAUUUAAAUUAAUUAGCAGAAUACAUUGCAUGAGGCACCUGAGUCUUGUAAGACUGAACAGAGGCGGAUUUAGGGGGGGGGGCAGGGUGCCCCCUUUUUCAGAAAAUAUUUGGUUGGUUAUAUAGGGAAUCACUUAAGCGUGACGGAAUCGCCCCCCCCCUUUUAGGCAGACAGUGGGCCCCCUCUUAUGAAAAUUUCUAGAUUCGCCACCGCUGAACGUCAAAUUAAAAAGUUAAAACAUGUUGAAAGUAAAAUAAAAACACAGGUUGCAAGGUGAAAGGUAUAGAUAACGGACCUACCAUUUGGUUUUUAAGGGGGGGGGAAGGGGUGGUAGGAUGAAAAAUUUUGUCCUGCAUUCUAUUAGUUGUUAUGUAUUUUUCACUCUGCCUUUUUGUAUUAAAAUUGAGAAUGGAAAUGGGGAAUGUGUAAAAAAGACAGCAACCCUACCAGAAGAGUGUACUAGUGAACUGUCUAGUUCAUUAGUUUAUCCUGCCCUUUUUUACAUACAUAUAAAUAGAUCUUAAUAGUCAUCCUGCCUUUUUUUUGGCAAAGUGUCUCAUCCCCUAUUUUAAUCAUUUUUGUUAAUUCUCCAAACUCCUGUCCUGGCCUUUUUCAAAUUUCAUCCUGAUUUUUUCAUAUUAUAGUCUACAUGUAGUUGCAUAAUGUUAUUAUUACUAAAACCUCAGUCUAUAUCAAAAACUUCAUAUUGUAUGAGGGUCUGGAUGGGGGGGGGGGUCUGUUAUUCUGUAAACAUUUAAUUUUCACCUCUUUUUUCUCUAAUCUUCAAAAAAUUACCCACUUUUUUCUCUAAUCUUUAUUUUUUUUGCCCUUUAUUCUCUAAUCUUCAUUUUUUAAGGGCAUUAUUUUUUAAUCAUUUAACCCCAUCCAAACCCUCUUGUAUAUAUUUCCAGACCAUAUGAGUAUUUGAACCGUACACCUAUAUUCGUGUGGUGGGACCAUAUGUGUACGGUCAGACCAAUAUAUAUGAGUAUACUAAUACAGUCUAGUUAGGACUAACUGGCCCCUAUAUAUGUAUUUCGACCCUAGGGGUUAAUUUUUGACAAACAUGUAUCAAAAUCUGUUAUUGAAUAUACAAACAUAAAAAUUAAUAUUAUGAAAAUUAGAUGAAUGGAGUGAAAUAUAUCAUCAUAUCACCAACCCUAAUAAUCUGGAAACAACUAUUAUUAGAGUAACAAAGCUACCUUAUUUAUUCUUUGCACUAGUUUUUGACACAUUUUUAUUAUAUUUUCUCUAUGUGUUUUCAAGGGAUUUUUUUUAUAGUUUUUGUCAUGUAUCGAUCUGUGGAGAUUUUGUAGAAAAGUUCCUAAAUAUUCUAAAAUAUUUUCUUCCAACAUUAUGUUUAUUCUGAUAACUUCAAUUUCAGCCAGCAUAAUUCAAUCUGAUGUAUUAACUGACAUGCUAAAUGUACAGGAGCUUAACAGAAUAAAGCUGUGAUUAAUAUAAUGAUACUGUUCCACAACAUUUUAGGGUCAGAGAAAUUUAAUGCUUGAUUGGGAGCAAUUAUUUGUGGUCACUUAAACUGAAGAAAUUUAUUGCUUUUAAUUGAUUGACCAUGUGCAGCUGGUAUAAGCACAUAAUCAGCUGAUUUACUAAAAUAACAUUGAUUACCUUGAAUAUUAUUAUGGAUAGAGAUAAAUUAUAAACAGCAAUAAGGUUCAGCAAAGUAAGAUCUACAAGUAGGGCAACAUGACCAAAAUGGUCAAUUGACCCCUGAAGGAGUUAUAUUUUAUUUAAAGAAUUUUUCGUAAAUUUUUGUAAUCUGAAACUACUGGUCCAAAUACAUGUACAUGGAAUAUAUAUGAAAGAGAUUCAAAGGAGUAGGGGCAAUAAAGGUCAUUUUUUUUCGUCCAAUUUUGCUUAUUAUCUUGAAAACUAUAAUAAUAGAUAGAGAGAAACUUUGAAAUGCAAAAAUGAUCAGAAAAAUACUCUUUUGUGUGUGAACUUGAAGCAAGAGCUAAAUAAGAUCAUAAAGAUAGAGAGAAACUAAACAGACUUCAUUGAUCAGCAAUAUAGUUACGUACGAUACAAUUUUUUUUUAGUAAAGAACACGAUGUAUUAAAAAAACAUACACAAUAUAAUUUAAAUCAUGCACAUGUAUAUAUAUAUAUAAAUCAAGCACAUGUAUAUAUAUAUAUAUAUAAACUUUUCUAAACAUCGACAUUGUCCACUGUACUUAACUGUACUAAGUGUACUCGAACUCGACUUUACUUAAUUAGUCUGAUUCAGUACUUGAUGAUCUUUUAUCUGAAAUUCUUGACCAAGGCUCGACCUGUCUCGACCUGUCUUGACUAUCUCGACCUGUUCGAUCAGUUCAACCAGUCUCGACCUGUCUCGACUAGUCUUGACUUCAAAUUUAGUUUGACUGGUGUAAAUCAGCCCAUCUAACUAAAUUAAAUAUUGAUCUUACAAAAUUCAAGCUUAUUAGGUAGUUUGAUUUGUUGCUGUGAAAUGAAAGAAUUUAAUUUUACAAUAUGUAAAAAAAAAAUUAUAAUGUAAAAAUUCAGAUUGGCAUCUUUAAUUUUUUUUAUAACUUUUUCAAAUCAACUUGGAUUGUCAUCAAACUAUGCAGAUAUCUUAGAUAGAUAUCAAGCUUACUGAAUCCCUUUUCAUUUAGGUUGUAUUGCUGUAAAAUUUAAGAAUUAAAGUAAUUUUGGUAAAAAAAAGCUAGGAUUUGCAAUUUGGACAAAAUAGAGAUAGUACACUUUAAUUUUUUUAAUAAAUUUUUUCAAAUCUACUUGGAUUUUCAUGAAACUUGCAGCUAUCUUACAUAUAUAUCAAGCUUACUGAAUCCCAUUUCAUUUAGUUUUUUGUUGUAUUGCUUAAAAAUUUAAGAAUUAAAGUAAUCUUGGUAUAAAAAGCUAGGAUUUGCAAUUCGGACAAAAUUUACACUUUAAUUUUUUUUAAUAACUUUUUUAAAUCAACUUGGAUUUGCAUCAAACUAUGCAGCUAUCUUACAUAUAUAUCAAGCUUACUGAAUCUCAUUUCAUUUAGUUUUUUGUUGUAUCGUGUAAAAUUUAAGAAUUAAAGUAAUCUUGGUAAAAAAACUGGAUUUGCAAUUCGACAAAAUAGAGAUAGUACACUUUAAUUUUUUUAAUAACUUUUUCAAAUCAACUUGGAUUUGCAUAAAACUAUGCAGCUAUCUUACAUAUAUAUCAUGCUUACUAGAUUCCCAUUUCAUUUAGUUUUUUGUUAUAUUGCUGUAAAAUUUAAGAAUUAAAGUAAUCUUGGUAAAAAAGCUAGGAUUUGCAAUUCGGACAAAAUAGAGAUAGUACACUUUAAUUUGUUUAAUAACUUUUUCAAAUCAACUUGGAUUUUCAUCAAACUAUGCAGCUAUCUUACAUAUAUAUCAAGCUUACUGAAUCUCAUUUCAUUUAGUUUUUUGUUGUAUUGCUGUAAAAUUUAUUUAAGUAAUCUUUAUAAAAAGCUAGGAUUUGCAAUUCGGACAAAUAGAGAUAGUACACUUUAAUUUUUUUAGCUCUCAGAGAAAUUCAAACUCAUGCUACUGAGAUAUUGUAACACCAAAUCGCCUGCACUUUAUCGGACGGGCUACAUCACUUGACCACCUGGGCUUCAUAAAAAUAAAGCUUUCGGUGGCCGGGUCUCCCUGUUACCUUUCCUCCUGAGUUUUUAUUUAACGUUGUAAUACAGUACAUGAUAUAUAAGGCAUGAACAUGGAAUGUAUAUAUAUAUAUACGACGUAUUAGUCAAAUGCGUUUUGUUAAAAUAUACUUUUUCACUUUUUUGGUCUUUUGGAAAACGUUGUUUGUGCUGUAUUUAGACCCUUCUUCAACGAAAUUUGUUUUACAUGCACACGUAUAAAUUGCUGUUUUAAUCCAACGCAAUCAUAGGUUUGAAAGUAGUUUUUAAUUUAGAUUUGUAUAUGUACAUAUAUAUAUAUGUCAAAAUAUUCACUUCAAACUAUCCUGUCUAAGCCAGUUAUUUCAAGACAUUAAAUACAUUUGUAUAUAGUCAUAAUAUGCAUUAAUUAGGGAAUGAUGUGUUACUGUUAAACUUCAAACCCACUGUUGUUGAACUUUUAAAGAAAUAUUUGAUAGAGAAUUGUUGACAUUAUCUUUUUAUAUUAUAUUACUGUAUCUAAACUUCAAAGUGUAAUUUUUAAAAUAACUUGCCAUUUUCUUCUUUGAACUGUUUUCUUUCACUGCAUGGUUCUUCACAAAAUCACCACAAAAACAAUAUUGUAAUAAAUUGAAGAUAGUUAUAAGAUGUGUAUUCUUGAUGAAUUUCAAACUACAUUUUAUUUUGCUCUACACAUUUUAUGAUGUCCAAGUAAUGAGGUCAUGACAUCAAUAUGAAUCCAUAUAGUAACCAAUGAAAUAAAAGAGAAAUUCAUUUUAUGUCUUCCUAGAUCUUUGGAUAAAAACAGGCCACAUUUACUUGUACAUGUUGUGUGUAUUGUACUUAAAUAUAAAAACACCAGUAAAUGUUAUACAUAUAUAUCAUGUAAUAUACUCUCACCGCAUUCAAUGUCAUUGAUUCAAUGGACUUAAUUAAGUAUAAUGGGAAUAGGUCUUAUAAUUAGUGUAAAUAAAAGUGAAAUAAUUAGAAGGAUGUUAGUAUUGUAUUUCACAAUGACCAUGAUGACAUACAGGAAUAGAAUUUUGAAAAUUUUAUUGUAAGUAAUAAUUUCAUACUUAAUGCGAAUUAUAAUUAUGAUAAUUGUAUAUUUUUUUUGUUUUGUGUAUGGUCUCCUUAAAGUUUUAUUUUGAGGAGGAUUAAGGGGGAUGGGGCAAAUGGGCCCGGGCAUUCCCUUUUUGAUAAAAUUUUGUUUGAUUAAUCUAUUUAGGGAUCAAAUCACUGAAGCAUGAUUUGUACGGGUCCCUUUUAAAAAAAUUCUGGAUUUGCCACAGGCAUACAGAAAUUAAGGAUGUUUUAUAAUUUUAAGAAAUUCUAAUAUAUAUCAAUUAAAAAAUAUAUAUAUAUAUAUAUUGUAUGCAUUAGUGAUAAAUUUAAUAAUCGUGUCACCUAAGGAUAUUUGCCUGUAGAUGUUUUAUGUCCCACCUUUGGGCAUUAUGCUUUCUAAUGAGUCAUGAGUAUGAGUCUGUUCCUCCAUCUGUCUGUCCGGCUUCAAGUUUUUGAUGAAGUUGAAGUCCAAUCAACUUGAAACUUAGUACAUGUUCCCUAUGAUAUGAUCUUUCUUAUUUUAUUAUCCAAUUAGAGUUUUGCCCCCAAUUUCAUGGUCCUCUAAACAUAUAAAAAUGAUAGUGCUAGUGGGUCAUCUGUUCACUAUGGACACAUUAUUGUUAUUGAUUUAAAUGCAAAGUAUUUAAGAAUAAGUUUCUGAAUUUCACCAGUUGAUAAUUCCCUACAAUUUAAAAUUCAAGAAUUUUGUACAAGUAUGUACCACUUGAAAGUAUAUUUGACAUGGAUGAGAGUUUAGAUGGGGUUUACAAAUUAGAGAAUAACAGGCAAAAUGUACAGAAUAAAGGUAAAAAAAAAAUAAUAGGGAAAAGAAAGAAAACUAAAACUAAAUAAAUAUUAGAAAAUUUAACAGGGUGCUGAAAUGAAAUAUAAAAAUAGAGAUUAAAGAAAAACAAUUUAAUAUACAUGUCUUAAAGAAUAAAGAUACAUGUAUACAGAACCCCUAUCUAGACCUUAAUAAAUCAAGCCAUAUAAACAUAAACAUAAAUGACAAAUACUCUGAUAAUUGUGAUAAUAGUUGUCAGGUCACAGGAGUUUGUCUGCAAAAGACUUCAUAAGUAACUCGAUCUCAUCAAUAAAAAAAAAUGAAAGAAAUACCAAAUAAUCAAAACCUAAACUAAAAUUAAUGAACAAGGCCAAAUAAUUUAAUACAAAAUGAAAAACAAUCAAUUGAUAAAAAAAAUGAGAAAAGAAUCAUAGAUAAAACAUGAUAUCAUAAAACUAGAUACUCGAUGAUAUAAAAAUAACAAAAUAUUUGAAUAAACAAAGAACUUAAACCUGAAAUUUAUAAGAAAAAAUUAAAAAAAGGGCGGUUAAAAUAUAAACACAUAAAUGACAAAUACUCUGAUAAUUGUGAUUAGGUCAGACAGGAGUUUGUCUGCAAAAGACUCAUAAGUAACUCGAUCUCCAAUAAAAAAAAAUGAAAGGCCAAAUAAUUUACAAAAUUAAAAACUUUGAUAAUCAAGAGAAAAACUUAUAUCUAUGAUUCAUACAUAAAAUACAAAACUUAGAACCUGAAAUUGAAAAAUUAUAAACAGUCAGGGGCGUUACUUAAACAAGUAGUUUUUUCACGUUACUUAUAUAUAUAUAUAUAUAUAGUAAGUAAUUUUUGUUUUUGAAAAUAAUAAGAUUACUUAAUCAUGUUAAUAGAGUUAUUUUAAAUUUGAAUAGAAGCAUAGAUUAAAUGUAGUUUGAAUGAGUUUUUAUAUAAUUUUAUAUGAUAAAAUAAAGAAUUUAUUAGAUUGGAGAGGAGUAUGGAGAUAAAGGUUUAUAAUGACAAAAACAUUACUUGAAUAAGUUAUUUUAUACAUUUUAAUUUUUUUUAGUAAUAACACUUAUUUAAGAAACACAUGUAGUUGAUUUGGGUUAGCAGUUAUAAAUAACUUGAAAUCUUAAUUAAUUCACAAGUAUGUUAACUUUCUAUUUAUACCAGUCUACCUUCAAGAUUUUGGAGGAAAAUGAUAAUUUAAUAGUCCCUGAAGCAUGUGAAGAGACCAAUCUAAAUUUACCCAGAAGUAUCCAUAUGAAAGAUAAGUGAUAAUUAAGUGCAUCAGCAAGUUAAUUAGUGUUUCAGAAGAAAUUUAUAUUUCAUGGGGAAAAUAACCAGAUGACUGUGAAAAUUUGUUAAAGCUAGUAAAAUCUGCAUUUUUGGACACCUAUAAAAAUAAUAUUUAGAAAAGUUACCUAAUAUAUAAGUAGUAUUGAAAAUAGCCUGGUUUUCAACAUAACUUAUAUAGGCAGUUUUAAAUGUUACUUGUUUAAAUAAUGCCCCUGACUUAUGAUUUUUUUGUUUGUUUGUCAAAAGUUUUAUUUUCUAUUUAGCUCACCUGACCUAAGAGGCCAUGUGAGCUUUUGCCAUCCCUUGGCAUUAAUUGUUGAAUCAUCCAUUAAUGUCUGGUGUACACUUUUUCAUAGAUCUUCUCUUCUGAAACUACUGUAAUUAAUUAAUUUUAACCAAACUUUGGCUAAAUGAUCCUUAGGGUAUCUAGUAUAUAUUUUGUAAUUUUUAGCUCAGUGAGGCCCGAAGGGCCCGAUGUGAGCUUACGCCAUCACUUGGCGUCCUAUGUCGUCUGUCGUCGUAAACUAUUUAAAAAAUCUUCUCCUCUGAAACUACUGGGCCAAAUACAUGUACCUUCAAACUUUAACUAAAUGUUCCUAAGGGUAUCUAGUUUAUAAAUUGUAUCCGAAGUUUUGAUCCAUUGACAAACAUGGACGCCAUGGCUAAAAAUAGAACAUACUGGUCAAAUGCAGUUUUGUUAAUUGGCCCCUUAAGGAGUUAUUGCCCUUUAAAGUCAAUUUUACACAAUUUGUUGAUCAAGUUUGCUAAUUAUAUAUAACAUUUAAAAAUCUUCUCUGAAAUACAGAUGAGCGAUUCAGGCUCUUGAGAGUCUCUUGUUAUCUUGUCCUUUAAUUAAGAAACACUGCAUAGUUUGGUAAAAAACAAUAACUUUAAUAUUUAACGUAGCAUUUCAAGAUUAAUCUGCCUUUAAAAUUAAGACCAAUCUUGAAAACCCUUGGCUAUUUGAAGUUAUUGCUCCUGCAAUAGCAAGUUCCCACAAUUUAUACAUGUUAUAUAUAUAUGUUCUUGUUAACAAUGAUUGUCAUAUUGAAAACAAUUAUAGAUAUCAUAAAGAUAAAUUUAAAACAGCAAAAUAGUAGUGUGGAUCCUUAUAUGAGUUAUUGCCCUUGAAAGACAAAAUUUUAGCAGAAUUUCAAGUUUCAUGCAGGAAGUAUGAUAGAUGUAGAGACAUUUAUUUAUGUUCAGCUAAGUUAAAGAUCUGCGAAUAAGCUUACAUCAUGACCAAAAUAGUUAAUUGAUCCUUUAUAGGAUUUUUUGUCCUUAAGAAAUUAUUUUACCAAAAGUUAUGUUUUUUUGCAGAUAAUAAUAGAAAGAAGGAAUUUUAAUUUUUUUUUAAGUGAUAAAUAUGUUCAGCAAAGUAAGAUCUGGGAAUAGGACUUGUAUUAUUUAAAUUGCCAAUUGAUCCUUCAAAGCUGUUAUUGCCCUUGAAAGAAUAUAUAUUACCAAAUAUUUUUUUCUUCGGUUUUUUGAUUUUUGAUUUUUUUUUUAUGGAAGUAUUAUAUUUCAUUUUUCAUUUUUCUUCCAAUGGGUCGAAUAUAGAAAAGCAGAAAUUUAAGUAGCCCACACCAAUUAUAGGGGCCAUUGGCGAUUGGGCCCCUGCUAAUUUAAGUUUUUCAUAGUAAAGAAGUGUCUUCAUCAGAAUUACAGUUUACAUGUGUUGUUUACAUUAAUGUCAUUAAUUAGUUCUGCACAGUUAAAUUCUUUAUAGCUGUUUAACUAAUUCACCAAUGUUUCUAUAUCUUUUGAAUCCUAUUGAUAGGUUUUUAUUGAAUUUGUCACCUAUUGUAGAAUCUAUUUUGAUAAGAUUCCAGUAUUUCCUGAAUAUUGUUUGAAGUUUUCUGCUUAAGAAUUCGAUUGAUUAUUCGUAAUGAAUGAUAUAUUUUAUCUAUUUUCAACUUUGUUCUUUUUCUAGACAUAAAUUCAUAGAAAUUGAUCCAAUAUCCACCUAUUUAGGUGAAAAUCCUAACUCUGUCCUGAUUUCAUAGAAAUUAAUCUAAUAUCUAUCUAUCCAUUAGUGCAUAUCACAAUUUUAAAUUAAAUAAAUGUGCCUUCAAGUAGUUCAUGUGUAAAAAAAAAUGCUAAGGAUAAUGCUGUGGAUUCAUUUAAAUUUUGUGGUCACAUGUAUCAAUUUUCGUGGAUUAAAGAAAUUUUGUAUUUGUUUUGUUUGGUUUUUUCAUAGUCUGUAUACAACCCGAUGGCAAAUUUAUAAUUCGUUUAACAUUUAAAUUCGUGACUCAGCUGUUUCAAUGAAAACCACGAAAAUUGGUAUCCCAUGAAUAAUAAUGAAUCCACAUUGAACAUUUUCAGCAUGAAGGUUUAUGCCAUUCUGUUCUUAUUUCAGAUUGACAUAUCUGUAGGACAUGCAGUUAGCCUAGACAAAUAGGAAGAGAAAGGUCUUUGAUUCUGAGUUCUCUGUGAAGUUCAAGGUCUUUUUUAGUCUAAAUUAUAAUGGGAAGAUGUGAACGGUAAGUUUGAAAGUUUGUAAUUGUGCAAAAAUAUGUUAUUUUUAACAAAAUGUGCUGUUUCACAAAUAAAAUCCUCUGUCUCUUAGACACUUAUGUAGCAAUAAGGCCACUAUAUUGGUAUAUGAAAUGAUUGUAAGCUGUAUUUGCUUGACUGGUUAAACUGACCAUGCCUUCAUUUUCAUGGAUCAAGUUUAUGUGAUAUUAUUAAAAAAAAAAGCGACAAAUUUUCAAUCAUAAGUAAAGCAGGCUUAGUUGUUAAUUUAUGUGUCAUUUGGGCUCUUGUGGAGAGUAAAUGUCUCAUUGGCAAUAAUGAAUUAUACCACAUCUUUUUUUAUAUGACAUUUGAAUGUUGCAUUUAUAUAUAUAUAUAUUAUAUACAUAUUGCAAUCACUCAUUAGCUGGCCAAUUGUUUAUUAGCAUCCAUGUUUACAAAUAACUACAUUUGUGCAAUAAUGGGAUGAUUUUGUGGCACCAUGUACUUUAACUGUUCUAGAGUAAUGCCCUUUACAAACAAACAAAAGUGCUGAAUUUUGUUUCCAUUUUCUAACUUUUAUAAGUUUGCCUCUGAACCAAAUGCUAUGAAAUCAAUACACAGCAAUGCUUAUUACCACAAAAUACAGAUCAAGUAUGUAUUAAGGGGGUGGUGUCACUUAACUGUUCUGUAGUUAUGCCCCUUUACAAAUGAAAAAUAUGCUUAUAUUUAUAGUUUCCGUUCUCUAACUUUGAUUUGCCUCAACUAAAUGCAAUUAAACUUAUACACAAUGCUUGUUACCACAAAAAUACAGAGAUCAAGUUUGAAUUUUAAGGGGGUCACUUUAACCGUUCUAGAAUUAUGCCCCUUCACAAAUUGAAUGAUUGCUGAAAUUUUCAUUUCCAUUCACUUACUUUAAUUAGCUUGCCUCAACCAAAUGCUAUGACAUGUAUGAAUAAUUGUACACAAUAUUUAUUACCACAAAAUACAGAUCAAGUUUGACUUUUGAGGUUGUCAUUAAAUUUUUUAGAGUUAUGUCCCUUUGAAAAUGGAAAAAUUGCUGGAUUUGUGUUUCCUUUCUCUAAAUUAAGUUUGCAUAAACUAAAUUUUAUGAAACUUAUACACAAUACCUAUUACCACUAAAUCAGAUCAAGUGUUUUCGGUAGAGUCACUUUUACAGUUAUGUCCUUUUAUAACUUUAUAUGAUAUGCAAGCGUGGGCAUCAUCUGUGAUCCAUUGAUACAUUCCCCAUUUAAUUUUUUGUUAAACAUCAAUUUUUUAAUUUUUUGGUUGUCAGAGCCGAUUAAUGCCCCAUUUGUUUGUAGGUAAGAAUUGGUAAAGUAACACACACACAUAUAUAUAUCAAAAAAGUGCACAAAAACCUAAUUAUUGAUAUUAUGUUGAUAGUCCUAAGUAUAAAACUUUAUUAAAAACUGUCACAUAAACUUAGCAUUAACCAAGAUAACUAAACAAAGACCAAUGAACCAUGAAAAUGAGGUCAAGGUCAGAUGAACCAUGCCAGGCAGACAUGUACAGCUAACAAUGCUUCCAUACAACAAAUAUAGUUGACCUAUUACUUAUAGUUUAAGAAAAAUAGACCAAAACACAAAAACUUAACACUGAGCAAUGAACCGUGAAAAUGAGGUCAAGGUCAAAUAAAACCUGUGGGACUGACAUAUAGAUCAUAAAAUAUUUCCAUACACCAAAUAUAGUUGACCUAUGGCAUAUAGUAUUAGAUAAAAAGACCAAAACUCAAAAACUUAACUUUGACCACUCAACCAUGAAAAUGAGCUCAAGGUCAGAUGACAUCUGCCCGCUAGACAUGUACAUCUUACAAUCAUUCCAUACAACAAAUAUAGUAGAUUAUUGCAUAAGUAUGAGAAAAACAGACCAAAACACAAAACUUAACUAUAACCACUGAACCAUGAAAAUGAGGUCAAGGUCAGAUGACACCUGCCAGUUGGACAUGUACACCUUACAGUCCUUCCAUACACUGAAUAUACUAGACCUAUUGCUUAUAGUAUCUGAGAUAUGGACUUGACCACCAAAACUUAACCUUGUUCACUGAUCCAUGAAAUGAGGUCGAGGUCAAGUGAAAACUGUCUGACGGGCAUGAGGACCUUGCAAGGUACGCAUAUACCAAAUAUAAUUAUCCUAUUACUUAUGAUAAGAGAGAAUUAACAUUACAAAAAAUCUGAACUUUUUUUUCAAGUGUCACUGAACCAUGAAAAUGAGGUCAAGGACAUUUGACAUGUGACUGACGGAAACUUCGUAACAUGAGGCAUCUAUAUACAAAGUAUGAAGCAUCCAGGUCUUCCACCCUCUAAAAUAUAAAGCUUUUAAAAAGUUAGCUAACACCGCCGUAGCCGCCGCCGGAUCACUAUCCCUAUGUCGAGCUUUCUGCAACAAAAGUUGCAGGCUCGACAAAAAUGAAAACACCAGAUUAGAAAAAAAAGAUGCAGUAUGAUUGCUAAGGAAACAACUGCCAUAAUAAUUAUAAGAACAACAUUUAAACAUCAUCAGAGUAUUAAGGCUUCAAUUAUUGAAGAAAACAAAUGACAUACAGUAAGCUAUGAAAGGACCUGUGAUAACAAAUUCAUCUAUUAUCAUAAUUAUAAGACAGAACAAAAUAUGAAAUCAUGAAUAUUAAUAUGAAGGACUUUAGAAAUAUGAACUUGAAUUGACUUUUCUUUGUAGGAUACAAAGAAAUCUUGGAGGACAAAUUGGUGCGAGUCUUAAAAGACACAGAUUUGAAGAUAAAUGAAAGAAAAAGAAUGACAAACAUAGUUUAAAGGACUGCAGACUUCCUGAUAUCUUUCAAACUGUUCUUUUGGUAUACAUGGUAUAAAUGUAAUAUUGCAAUAUCAUUUUAUUUGUAUAGGUAUACAUCCUGUAAAUCUUGUUGGUGCCUUUUAGCUCCUUAAAUGCAACCACUAUUUAGUAAACAUUGUCAUGAUUGUUGUUCUAUAUGUGAGCUUAUUAGUUAACUAGAGC
rnacentral:lncRNA from 1 species